rnacentral:lncRNA from 1 species
GGGAUCACUGCUUCUGUCCCAGAGGCCAAAUUGAAUGAUGAUUUUCCUAUUGAGAUACGAGGAGUUGUCCAAUAUGUCCGUAAGAUCGGAUAUGAUUCUUUCAUCCAAAGGUCUUUGACUUCAUUCAAUCUGAUUUUGAAACCAUGUAGAAUCGUUUGAUUUGUCAUCUCUACCUCACUGUUAGACUGUGGAUGACCGACUAAAGUGACUUUGUGCAUAAU